rnacentral:lncRNA from 1 species
AUAUUAACUGAUAUACUCGAUCAUGGACCCAAACUUCAGCUAUCAUACGCUAUAGUAUAUCAUAUGUAUAAUCCACUCCUGCAUGCAGAUGCAACCCUGCAUGUGACCAUCAAUGGCACCACCCUCGCCACCGGCAAAACGACGAGCAUGGGCCGGUUCUUGAUGGCGGCGAGGGUGACCUCAAAAGAUCAGCUCAGCUCCCUGGUGAGCAAAAAGGCGGUCAUCACCGCUCCUCGACAGGCGUGCGGCAUGCCUGCAGCGUCCGUCGCUGCGAGGAAGCUGGCUGCACAGGCGGACCUGAAUGGCCACAGGAUUCUCGCCGACAAUUCUGGCGACUUGGUUGAUGAUGAUGAUAUCCGGGAGAUAAUUGAUCUGCUCGGUGACCCUACAGUCCCCGAUCCUAUACAAAGACUCAUUGAUGAUAUCUUGAGUUCGGGUGAGACUAGUGCAGGCUAUAUGGACAAUAUCACCGUCUUCACUGAUCAGGUGCCAGUGCCGGAGGUUGCUGCCUUCUGGAAUUUCAUUGAGAACAGUGGAUUGGACGCCUCUGUUUUCGUGGACGUCCUCAACAACUUCGUGGGCAUACCCAAUAUUGAGAGGAAUAUUUAAGGCAUUGUUUGGAUAAAUCAAUCUUAAUACACAUAGAUUGAGAUGGAGAAUAAACACUACCACAUAAUGAGUUAUCCCAUAUGGCACUAUCACCAACGAUUUUAGGUAAACUGGCUGUAAUAUGUAUCAUCGCCGGUUCUAAAAUAAAUGGGGUUGUGGGAUGUUAGAACUGGCAGUGAAGCCAUCACCGCCGGUUCCAAUCAUAAACCGGCGGUGAAAGUCAACACCGUCGGCUCUUAUAAAAAUCCGUCGGUGAAACGGUCCGAUCGGAUCGAAAUCUUUUUCAAAUCCAGUUAAGCGUGCUUGACGUCCGCGCUCUCCCCUCCCCCUCCGCCACUUCUCCCUUUCUCUCCCCCAGUCCCACUUCUCUCCUCCCUCUCUCCUUAUCCUGCAAGCCCCCUCACUCCCUCCACCACCGAACCCCUCCCCCCUCCCUGUCCAUUGGGCCCCUCCUUCCCUCCCUCCCUCCCCAGCCUCCCCUCUCCUCCCCCUUUGCUCACCCCUCACCUCGUGCCUGAGGUGAGAAGCGGCGGCGGGGCGAGGCGUGGCGGGCCGACCAUCGGGGCACGGAGCGGCAACGGCUAGCGGGCUCGGCGUGACAGGAUGUAGCAGUGCGGACGAAGCGGCAGCGGUGGCAAGAUCCGGGGGUGACGGCGGCGGCGAAAUCCGGUGCACUUCCCCCUCUCCCUCUCCCCCUCCCUCCCUCCCCCCCUCUCUCCCCUCUCCCUUUCCCUCCCUCCCUCCCUCUCCCCUACCCCUGCCGGACCUACCCCUCUCCCGGCCGCAUCCUGGCGGCUGCGCCCGGCCGCCCCUCUCCCACGACCCACCGGCCACCCGUUCUUCGGCGGUCCGGUGAGGAGGAGCGGCGGCUGGCUAGGAAGAACGGGUGGCCGGCAGGUCGCGAGGAGGGGCGACCGGGCGCGGCCGGCGGGAUGCGGGGCUGAGCGUGGAUUUUUUUUAUUUUUUAAUACGGCUUCACCGUCGAUUCCAGAACUGGCAGUGAUUCUAAUCACUGUCGAAAGUCAAAUGAUGGACCAAAAAACAGCGGUGCAGGCUGGUUUGGAGCCGGCGGUGAUGUACCUUUGUGGAGCAGUGAAACUGAUUUCUCUAACAAUCCCUCAUAAUACGUGUGGAUUGGAGGGUACGCAAAAGAAGUCUAAUAUAUAAUGUUAAUCCCAUUAUACAGAGGAUCCAUGUUUCCGUUCCUGUUGUUUGUUUCUAGGAAAAAAUCAUUUUACUCCCUCCACCUAUUUACUUUGUCAACCCCACCCCCUAACCUAUAUGUUGGCUCAAUUUAAUCCCUUCACCUAUUAAUUCCGAAUCAAAUUACCCCCUAAGCAAUAUUUCCAUCAUAAUUUACCUACGUGGCAUUGUUAUGACCGAGUCAAUUCACGUUUGAGGCCAACUAAGCAGUCUGAUGUGGACUGCGAUAGCUGAGUCACAAAAUCGAGCCGAUCUAUAAGCCGUGCCCUAAGCUAUAUCCACAUGGAUGACCGUGACGCCCUUCCCAGAAGCGCAGCCCUGCCACACGAGCGCGUGGAGGUCACCGUCCAUGGCCUCCACCUCUUCCUUUGAUAUCCUCUGGAACGAAGCCGUCGGAAGGGGCACGAACUGACGAUCCUUGAGCCGCUCGUGCCGUUGCUGAAGCUAGCCUGCUUUGCUCACCCUAUCCAUCACUGCCUUCACCACCACCUCUGCGGCGACGGCGCUCUCGCCGAUGACAACCACACAUCGCUUGCUCCAGCUCGCCAUGUAGUCCAGCACGUGCAUGGCGCCAUCAGCGGCGUUGGCUGCGUUGGGGCGCCUCACAUGGUCGGAACCUAGUGGAGAGCUCGUCACCACGUGGCUAGGCAUCUUUUUUGGAUGAUGUUCCGGCGACGAGACAACCUUCGGGACAUUUGACUUGACUUGGGAGCGAGAGAAGCUGGUCUCACGCAUGACGUGGCUGACGCUGGGGUCGUUUGAGGAUGGAAAUGAUGAGUUGCUCAAUCUCGACCUUGGCAGCGGCGGCGAGCUCUGGUUGCGACUGCAGCAGCGGCUGACCUCCUUUGAGGGCGCCCCGGCACUAGGGCGCCUGCGCGCUUGAACGUGGCGACGAGAGCGUUGGACAGCACGGGCACUAUCUAAAACAUGCGGUGGCAUUUUACCUGUGCAAACUAAACCGAUGAAACAAAACAUCAGCAGCGUUUUGGUUAGUGGCCCUGGAAGAUCGGUUUCAGGCUCUAGGGUGAUGGACUUUGCAGCUUGGCGUCCGCUCCGCGCGGACGGAUAUGCGUCAAUGCGUAUUUCGUUUGGAGACAUGCAGCUCGGCUUGUUCUUUUAGCUCGAUGGCCUCGCACUUGUCCACGUCAGUCUGCUUUGUGAGUCUCAAACGUGAAUUGAUUCGGUCAAAACCAUGCCAGGUAAGCAAAUUAUGAUGGAAAUUCUUCUUAGGGGGUAAUUUGACCCAAUAUUAAUAGGUGAAGGGAUUAAAUUGAGCCAAUAUAUAGCUUAGGGGGUGGGUGGACAAAGUAAAUAGGUGGAGAGAGUAAGAUAGACUUUUUCCCAUGUUUCUAUCGGUCAUUAAUCCAUUAAUGUGUAAUCAUACCCCAAUCCCAUACACACCGUACCUGAUACCACUCCACCGCCUUAACUAGCUAGAAAAGUAUGCGGCACUCAUACAACAAAUAUAACAAAAAAAGUAGGAAAUGAUACGUUGCCAUGCCUAGCUCGGAUGCUAGCGGCAUUGCUCUGGAUUAAACCGCAGCCGUUCCCACACCACCCCAUUAUGGCAACAUGAGAGCUCCUCCGCGUGUAACUGCGGCAGCACUUUUCUCUCAGUUCUUAACUUUCUCCUCAAUUUGGUUUAAAUCCAAUGCUAUGGCAUGAGGAAGGGGACGAUGAAAACAUCUGCACCAACGGAAAGGUUGUCUUCAUCUGCGAUAGAGCUUUCCUGAAGUCAAAACCAAUACAAGUCGGUAUGUAUACUAUAAAAAUUACCAGAAACAUAAAUCUAGGAAACAAAACAAAUCAAGGACCAUUUAACAAAAGUAAAACAAAAACAAGAAGAUGGGGACAAAAUGUAAACAACAACCAUGAGCCUCGGAAGGGACAUGGUCUAUUCUCCAAACUCUUGCCACACAACAGGGCGUAGCCAGCGUGAUGCAUGGGUAUUCCGAGGAAUACCCAAAAAUCAACUAUAUAUCAUAUAUAUACAACGUAUACAGGUUAUAAAAGUGACCGUUGGCCUAGCAUUCAGGCAUCAACACCGCCCUAGCCAUCGGAAUUGAGUUGCUCCUGCUUGUCGUUCGUUCCUCAGCCUCCAAAUUGAAAUCGGACCUAGACUUUUGUAUAUACAUAGAUUUUGCUAUAUAUCUAGGUAUAAUUUUAUAUCUACAUGUGUAUAAUAAAAUCUAUAUAUAUCUAGAAAAUAUCAAAACGAACAUUUUGGAACAGAGGUAGUAGCCUUUUACCACAUGUCAGUUCAAAUGUCAUGAUUUUCGCAAAUCAUCAGUCAGAGGUGCUGCUAGCGCCCGGGUUGUGGAGAGCACAAAAAAACAUUUUAUUUGGUUAGCGAAGGAGGGGUGGUGAGAGGCUGAGAGCGGACUCAACAAUGGAGGCAUUGCCGAAGUAUAUCUAGAGGGUUGUAGUUUUGCUGCCGGUUCUCUCUCCGCUACGGUGCGGAAUAUGCCAUCCAAUAACCUUUGCGAAAUUGCCACCUAAUAUAAACCCUAGCAAUUCAAGUGUUUUCAGUACUGAUAAAUUUUUUUAGAAAAAGGAAUUGUCUCCGACCUCUACAACCAUACACAGUCAUGUUUUUACAAAAUCGUUUCUGCACUAACAAGUGGAGCCAGUGAAUCUACAGCACCACAAGCAAUUACGUGCCCAUUGCCCUCUGGACUCUAGUACAUGUCAGUGCAAUAUGUUUAGCUUUAUAAUUUUAGUUUUUCCCUCGAAAACGUGGCUGAGCUUUGUUAUUCUAGUAUAGACCCUUGUCAUCAAGGAUGAUCGUCAAUGUCGUCACUCUCACCAAAGUCCAUCCCAACACUAAAACAUGUUGGCGAAAAAUACUAUGCAAAUUGCCUAGAAACCUAAAUCCUAUCCAGGAAACAAAAACAAAUCAAAUAACGUUAAAUAAAGAACUAAAAGGAAAACGAAAAGAAGUAGAUAAAAUGUUUUUUUUAAAAAAAUUAUACGGGCUCGCUCAGGCCCAUGUGUGACACGAGUCGAACCGUGUGGUCAUUCUCAUAAAUACCAAGUCCUCCUGCUUUUGUCUACCGAAUUUAUUCUAACAAAGCACUAGAAAGCAAGUGAAAUUGCGUGUGCCAUGCUUUAUCUGUGCACGUGUAAAGCAUUUCGGUGUGAUUUCCUUUUUUUGUACGUGUGGUUUUCUAUGUGUACCGAAUUUAUUUUGUGUGGUUUUUCUAACCUCCUUUUCCAUGGCGUGCUGAUUUUUCUUUUCAGAAAUGUGCGGCCACCAUUUUAUAUGGUACAACGUGUACAGCACUGCGGAGCUGAAAAUAAAAAGGUCAUCUUGGAAUCCUGCAAUGUGCAAAAGUCAGAGGUGCCACCUCUCUCGACACACCCAAACUUGUUUCUCCCAUAUAGCCAUAUAUCGAUACUUUUUCUUCUUAUUUUAUCCUUUUUCCCUUCAUGUGAGGAAAUGUACACUACGAGUACAUCUAUAAUUGUACAUCCAAUAUACGGAUAUUUUUCCUUGCAAAAAAUUAGACAUCUUGACCUCAAGAAACAAAAAAUACACACGUGACAUACGUACUGCCAUUACUAUUUUAUAUAUUUAUGUAGACGCAUGUGACACACCACAUUUUUAAAAUAUGUACGAUUGUACAGUCACCGGCUCCACAUAAUUUUUUUAUAGAAAUUUUAGAACAAAACAUGUUGGUUAAAACAUAUAUUCUUUGAAAUAUAGUCUCUUAGGUAUCAUGCCUUUUUGUGGAGAGGGAAGUUGUUCAUUUCAAAUUGUUCAAAUUUACAUCUGCAAUGUGGAGGUUGAAGAGUAAACAUGGCCCUCCACCUCAAGAGAAAUAAACAUGUUCAGACCAAACCUAUAUCUUCCUUUGGGAGGCCUGCACAAUAACCAGUUAGUACGUCAUUGUAAUAUGGGCUGCAAGGGCUCUUGGCUAUAUAGCCAAUGCACUCAAUACUUCAUUAGCGUGUGACUUGAAGUUGUGGAUCAUACAAGGCACGUUAGCAUUUAAAUUUUACUCUUACUUGGAUCAGACAGUGUCAAACAAAGAACCUUAUCAGUAGGACAAAAUAGGUUGAUUCAUGUGAGACUAAUCAAGCAAGAGUAUGAGCAUUGUAUUUUUUAGGGACCAUAUAUAAUUUUAGAGUCUCGGGAAGUCAAAACCUGGACCAGAGGUUUGGGAUUCUCCAGGGAAAGCAAUUCAAAUUAGUAGUUUGUUUAGUUUUAUAAAAUUUUGAGAUCUGUUUUUAAUUUGCACAUCCUUUAUUAACAAAAACUAGAGCAUUAGAGGUUGAGCCGGCCACUAUGUAAGACGUCUUAAAAGGAGACGCGAGUUAACUCACACAGGAGACGUGUUUUUUUCGCGUCUCCAAAUUUUCGUCUCUGAUGUAAAGUCAUACAAGAUGCGAAAAAUCCGCGUCUCCGAUGUAGAGGGUCAUUGGGGAUGCGUUUUGACGGGACAAACAUAUUGUAGAUGCGUUUAGUUUAUCCGCGUCUCCGAUUCAACAUUGGAGACGUGUUUUAAUUCCACGUCUCUAAUAAGGAUGUCUUCUUUGUGAUAUUGUUACAUAGUGGGCAUUGGGGGUAUCAAGAAGUCAAAACUAGACCAUGUGUAUUGAUAGUUGUGAUCGAUUCUGGCUGACUUUUGAAAUCCUAGCCUACCAAACUUUGCUAAUCAUGCUUAAAUGGUUGCUUGUUUGUCAACUUGGUUGCCCAUGUGAAUGGGUAACGAAAAGGGAGUGCUAUGAGUUUUGCACCUGCUUACCUUUAAUUGGUCUAUAAAUUGUCACCGAGAGAGACCAUGCAUGGGUGCACCAGACCACUAGGCACUGGCACUCACAUACAUUCUCCAGCUGCAUACUUCACACUGUACUCAGCGCGUGCCAUGGCAACCUGCAGGAGCCUUCUCAUGGUCCCGGUCACUCUCUGCUUCUUCCUCCUCGUGCUCCCAGCGCAGAGCAAGGAGAACCUUGCCGUCGUCAUCUUCUACGGCACAGCCCGAUGCAAGAGCAACCCCUCCAAGAUCAUCAGCAGUAAGCGAUCUUAUAUUAACUGAUAUACUCGAUCAUGGACCCAAACUUCAGCUAUCAUACGCUAUAGUAUAUCAUAUGUAUAAUCCACUCCUGCAUGCAGAUGCAACCCUGCAUGUGACCAUCAAUGGCACCACCCUCGCCACCGGCAAAACGACGAGCAUGGGCCGGUUCUUGAUGGCGGCGAGGGUGACCUCAAAAGAUCAGCUCAGCUCCCUGGUGAGCAAAAAGGCGGUCAUCACCGCUCCUCGACAGGCGUGCGGCAUGCCUGCAGCGUCCGUCGCUGCGAGGAAGCUGGCUGCACAGGCGGACCUGAAUGGCCACAGGAUUCUCGCCGACAAUUCUGGCGACUUGGUUGAUGAUGAUGAUAUCCGGGAGAUAAUUGAUCUGCUCGGUGACCCUACAGUCCCCGAUCCUAUACAAAGACUCAUUGAUGAUAUCUUGAGUUCGGGUGAGACUAGUGCAGGCUAUAUGGACAAUAUCACCGUCUUCACUGAUCAGGUGCCAGUGCCGGAGGUUGCUGCCUUCUGGAAUUUCAUUGAGAACAGUGGAUUGGACGCCUCUGUCCUCGUGGACGUCCUCAACAACUUCGUGGGCAUACCCAAUAUUGAGAGGAAUAUUUAAGGCAUUGUUUGGAUAAAUCAAUCUUAAUACACAUAGAUUGAGAUGGAGAAUAAACACUACCACAUAAUGAGUUAUCCCAUAUGGCACUAUCACCAACGAUUUUAGGUAAACCGGCUGUAAUAUGUAUCCGCCGGUUCUAAAAUAAAUGGGGUUGUGGGAUGUUAGAACUGGUAGUGAAGCCAUCACCGCCGGUUCCAAUCAUAAACCGGCGGUGAAACCGCCGGCUCUUAGAAAAUUCCGUCGGUGAAACGGUCCGACCGGAUCCGAAGUCUUUCUCAAAUCUAGCUUGACGUCCGCGCUCUCUCCCUCCCCCUCCGCCACUUCUCCCUUUCUCUCCCCCAAUCCCACUUCUCUCCUCCCUCUCUCCUUAUCCUGCAAGCCCCCUCACUCCCUCCGCCGCCGACCCCCUCCCUCCCGGUCCACCGGCCCCUUCCCUCCCUCCCUUCCCGGCCUCCCCUCUCCUCCCCCCUCCGCUCACCCCUCACCUCGUGCCUGAGGCGAGGAGCGGCGGCGGGGCGAGGCGCAGUGGCAGCGUCCAUCGGGGCACGGAGCGGCAACGGCUAGCGGGCUCAGCGUGACAGGAUGUAGCAGUGCGGAUGGAGCAACAGCGGUGGGAUCCGGUUGCGGCUGCUAUGAGAUCCGAGGGCGGCGGUGGUGACAAGAUCCAGUGCACUUCCCCCUCUCCCUCUCCCUCUCCCUCUCCCCUCCUCUCCCCCCCUGCCGGACCUGCCCCUCUCCCGGCCGCAUCCUGCCGGCUGCACCCGGUCGCCCCUCUCCCGCGACCCACUGGCCACCCGUUCUUCAGCGGUCCGGUGAAGAGGAGCGGUGGCCGGCUGGGAAGAACGGGUGGCCGACGGGUCGCGGGGAGGGGCGGCUGGGCGCGGCUGGCAGGAUGCAGGGCCGAGCGUGGAUUUUUUUUGUUUUUUUAAUACGGCUUCACUGUCGGUUCCAGAACUGGCAGUGAUGCCCAUCACUGUCGAAAGUUAAAUGACAGAUCCAAAACCGGCAGUGAAGGUUGGUUUGGAACCGGCGGUGAGGUACCUUUGUGGAGUAGUGAAACUGAUUUCUCUAACAAUCCCUCAUAAUACGUAUAGAUUGGAGGGUACGCAAAAGAAGUCUAAGAUAUAAUGUUAAUCCCAUUAUACAGAGGAUACAUGUUUCCGUUACUGUUGUUUGUUUCUAGGAAAAAGUUCAUUGUACUCUCUCCACCUAUUUACUUUAUCCACCCCACCCCCUAACCUAUAUGUUGGUUCAAUUUAAUCCCUUCACCUAUUAAUUCCGAAUCAAAUUACCCCCUAAGCAAUAUUUUCAUCAUAAUUUGCCUAUGUGGCAUUGUUACGACCGAGUCAAUUCACGUCUGAGACCAACUUAGCAGUCUGAUGUGGACUGCGAGAGCUGAGUCACCAAAUCGAGCCAAUCUAUCAGCCGUGCCCUAAGCUAUAGCCACCUGGACGACCGCGACGCCCUUCCCAGCAGCGCAGCCCUACCACACGAACGCGUGGAGGUCACCGUCCAUGGCCUCCACCUCUUCCUGAUAUCCUGUGGAACAAAGCCGUUGGAAGGGGCACGAACUAACGAUCCUUGAGCCGCUCGUGCCGCUGCUAAAGCUAGCCUGCUUUGCUCACCCUGUCCAUCACUGCCUUCACCACCACCUCUGCGGCGGUGGCGCUCUCACCGACGACAACCACGCACCGCUUGCUCCCACUCGCCAUGUAGUCCAGCACGCACAUGGCGCCAUCAGCGGCGUUGGCUGUGUUGGGGCGCCUCGCAUAGCCAGAACCUAGUGGAGAGCUCGUCACCACGUGGCUAGGCAUCUUUUUUGGAUGAUGUUCCGACGACGAGACGGCCUUCUGGAUGUUUGGCUUGACUUGGGAGCUAGAGAAGCUGGUCUCGCGCAUGACAUGGCUGACGCUGGGGUCAUCUGAGGAUGGAAAUGAUGAAUUGCUCGAUCUCGACCCUUGCAGCGGUGGCGAGCUCCGGCUGCGACUGUGGCAGCAGCUGGCCACCUUUGAGGGCACCCCGACACUAGUGCGCCUGCACGCUUGGACGUGGCGACGAGAGCGUUGGGCAGCACAGGCACUGUCUAAAACAUGCGGUGGCAUUUUAUCUGUGCAAACUGAACUGAUGAAACAAAACAUCAGCAGCGUUUUGGUUAGUAGCCCUGGAAGAUCGAUUUCAGGCUCUAGGGUGAUGAACUUUGCAGCUUGGCGUGCGCUCAGUUGGGCGCGGACGGACAGGCGUACGUGCGUAUUUCAUUUGGAGACAUGCAGCUCGGCUCGUUCUUUUAGCUCGAUGGCCUCGCACCUGUCCACAUCAGACUGCUUUGUUGGUCUCAAACGUGAAUUGACUCGGUCAAAACCAUGUCACAUAAGCAAAUUAUGAUGGAAAUCCUUCUUAGGGGGUAAUUUGACCCAAUAUUAAUAGGUGAAGGGAUUAAAUUGAGCUAAUAUAUAGGUUAAGGAGGUGGGGUGGACAAAGUAAAUAGGUGGAGGGAGUAAAAUGGACUUUUCCCAUAUUUCUAUCAGUCAUUCAUCCAUGUGUAAUCAUACCCCAAUUCCAUACACACCGUACCUGAUACCACUCCACCGCCUUAACUAGCUAGAAAAGUAUGCGGCACUCAUACAACAAAUAUAACAAAAAAAAAGAAGGAAAUGAUACGUUGCCAUGGCUAGCUCGGAUGCUAGCGGCAUUGCUCUGGAUUAAACCGCUGCCGUUCCCACACCACCCCAUUAUGGCAACAUGAGAGCUCCUCCGCGUGUAACUGCGGCAGCACUUUUCUCUCAGUUCUUAACUUUCACCUCAGUUUUGUUUAAAUCCAAUGCUAUGGCAUGAGGAAGGGGAUGAUGAAAAUAUCUGCACCAACGGAAAGGUUGUCUUCAUCUGCGAUAGAGCUUUCCUGAAGUCAAAACCAAUACAAGUCGGUAUGAAUACUAUGAAAAUUACCAGAAACAUAAAUAUAGGAAACAAAACAAAUCAAGGACCAUUUAACAAAAGUAAAACAAAAACAAGAAGAUGGGGACAAAAAUGUAAACAACAACCAUGAGCCUCGGAAGGGACAUGAUCUGCUCUCCAAACUCAUGCCACACAACAGGUUAUAAAAGUGACCGUUGGCCUAGCAUCAGGCAUCAACACCGCCCUAGCCAUCGGAAUUGAGUUGCUCCUGCUUGUCGGUCGUUCCUCAGCCUCCAAAUCGAAAUCGGACCUAGGCCAGGGCGACCAAUGGGCAGCGGGAGACGGCAGCGGCCCGUGCUCCGAGAUCGUACCGUUCUACUGUUGUACGCGUCGUCGACGGCUCGUCCGUGAUCGAGUGCGGCGGCGUGCGCUGCUCCUUCCCGCGUCAAAUUUGCCGUAGCUCUCGCUUCUUCCUCUCCAAAAUCUCCCGUCACCGGUGUUCAAUCUCUCCACAAAAGAGCAAGGACGUCGUCAUCCAUCUCCUUCCAUGGCCAGUCCUCAUCCAUAGGUAAACUCAUAUCGAAAUACCCCACGCUCCUCUCCACAAGCCAUCCCAGUUCUCUCCUCUUCCCGAACUUCUCCGAGCCCCCAAAGCUCCCGUUCAUGGCAGCCAUGGCCACCCAUCUCCACUUCCUUCCUCACCUCCUGGACCAAGCAAAAUGGAUUCCACUCCUAUAGAUACUUUGUAUUCUCGAACAAGCAACAAAAUAACAUAUAAAGAUCAAUUUAUACUUGAUUGACAUAAUCUAUAGAUACAUGCAUGAACUAAAUAAACAACCUAAUAGACAGACCACUAUAUGCUUGGUCUGUUUUGCCGUGUAUACGUGACAUGGUAUGUGUUUGCAAACAAGAGCUAUCUAAAUUGUUGAACAUGUUCUUUGCCUUCAAAUUUUAUCUCACAAAGAGUGUUCAUUUAGCUUCUAGUGAGACUCAUCUAAUUAAAACAACACUCACAGUCACAGCAAUGAAAAAAUGUAUUGAGAUGUGCAUAGAGCUAAUGAAAUGAUCAAUUGAUGUUUUUUCUCUAGUUACAAUCCAUGUGCAUUUAUUCAGGAUAAAAAAACUAAACAGACCGCAUAGUUUUCAACCACAACUAAUAUAAAUAAUUAGAGGUGGCAUGGUCGCUUCUCACAACUACUACUGUAUCCAAAAUUUUCUAAAAGAAUAUUUAUUUGGGGAUGCUAAAUAUACACACAUGUAUCUUUUAUAUUGGGUCAAGAUCGCUAGUUUUCAAGUUAUAAUUUGCCCCAACGCUCUGAUGCAGAGCAGUGCCCUUCCGGGACUCCCCAUGCCUCCCCCGUCCCCACUCAAUCCCAGGAUAGGCUGUUGGCCAAAGCUGAUGGCCCACGAGAGGCCACAUGCCACAUCUCCCAUCCGGCCAAUACGCCAUCACGCGCUAGCGCUACAGGAGCACGGAUGCUGUGCUACCGGCUGCGGCGGCCGAAGCGAGCGGGGGCAUGCCAGUGCGGUGAUGACAAGGCAGAGCUGGGCGGCCAGCGGGUGCUCCCCCUCCCUGAACUUAUUUUUUUUAACACGGGAAUACCAAACUUCUAAAUCCUGGCUCCACCAUGUCUUAGCGAUUUAGAAUUUCUGUAUUGAACUUAUUUUUUUUGCACAUAAUUAAAUUAUAUUGUUGGUUGGGAGAGUCAAGUGAAACUGUUUGUGACGUGCUUCAUCUGUGCACGUGUAAAGCCUUUUGGUGUGAAUUUCUUUUUUGUAUGUGUGGUUUUCUAUGUCUACCUAAUUUAUUUGUAUGUGGUUUCUCUAACCUCCUUUUUUCAUGGCGUGCUGCUAUUUCUUUUCAGAAAUGUGUGGCCACCAUUUAGUAUGGUACGACGUGUACAACCUGUGGCUCCUUGGAGCUGAAAAAUAAAAAGGUCAUCUUGGAACCUUGCAAUGUGCAAAAGUCAGAGGUGCCACCUCUGUCAACGCACCCAAACUUGUUUGUCCCAAAUAUCGAUACUUUUUUCUUCCUGUGAGAAAAUGGACAGAACGAGUACAUCUAUAAUUGUACAUCCAAUAUACGGAUAUUUUUCCACGCAAAAAAUUGGAUAUCAUGACCUCAAUAAACAAGAAAUACAUGUGGCAUACGUACUAUUGUUAUAUAUAUAUAUUUACGUAGAUGCCUGCGACACGCCACAUUUUAAAUAUUUACAUUAUAUGGUCAGCGAUCACCGACCCCAUGGAUUUUUUUAUAGAGAUUUUAGGAACAAAACACGUUGCUUAAAACAUAUAAUUUUUUAAAAUACAGAUAUCAUGCCUUUUGUUGGAGAGUGAAUUAAGUUCUUCAUUUCAAAUUUGUUCAAAUUUACAUCUACAAUGUGAGGUUGAAGAGUAAACAUGGCCCUCCACCUCAAGAGAAAUUAACAUGUUCAUAUCAUGACCGAACCUAUAUCUGCCUUUGGGAGGCCUGCAAUUGCAUUUUAGUUCAGUGGUAGUGACCAAUUAGUAGGUCAUUAUAAUAUGGGCAGUGAGGGCUCUUAGCUACAUAGAUGGCCGAUGUAGUAUGUACUCAUUAGGACUAAUCAAGCAAGAGUCGUAUGAAUCAGCAUUGCAUUUUUUUAGGGACCAUAAUUUUAGAUCCACCCAUCUAAACUGGUUCAUACGACUCUUCCUCUCCAAUCUCUCUCAAAUUUUUGGCCUCCUUCCUUCCUCCUCCCUCCCCUCUGGCCUUCCACUUCCCAAGCUUCCUCCCCCUUCCUCCUGUUCCUGCGAUGGCGAGGGCCGCGUGGUGGCCGGAGCGGGGGCGAGCGGCGGCCAGCGCGGGGGCGAGCGGCUGCCCUCGGCGAGCCGCUGGAUGUCGGCCUUGGGUAGCCACACCCGUAGCCGCACAUACGGCGGCGGCCUCCACGUAUGGCGAUGAUGCGGGGGAUGACGAUGAUGCCGCCAGGGCCGCCGCCACAUCCGAGGCCGACCGCCACGCUAGCAUCAGGCUCUCCGGCCACGCCCCGACGCCACCAGCGCUGUAGGUGAGCACGUCGGACCACGUCCGCCGGGGCGCGUCCCGCCGCCUAGCGGAGGAGGACGCGGCCAUCCUGGGCAGCUCGACGAGGAAGUCGAGAUUCCAGGGCUUAAGCGGUGCGUCCGGGUCCAGCGGGCGUGCGCGGACGUUGAGGUGGCGCACCUUGUCGGACUCGAGGAGGUGGUGACCCGGGUGGCCCCGUGGCGCGUCGGCCCAGCAGGGGUAUCUUGAUCUUUCGUUGGUUUAGCUGGGUUCAACUAGCUAAGGGUAAGUACAUUGGUGUCGUUUGGUCUCAAGCAUUAAUACGUAAUCCUGAGACGACUCAACAGGCAACCCGUACAAUGGGUUGUCUUAUAAGUUGUCUGGUGGAGCUAUAUAAUUCUUUAAUUUGUGCAUAUGGAAAAAGAAAAUAUUAUGAGUUGCAUGGCAAUAAUAACUCAUACAUUGAUUGUUGAGUUGUCUAGUAGUCCUACAAUUUAGCUCAUGAGGCGGUUGUUUCACGAAACAACAACCUCUUUCUCUCUACUCUCUCUCUCCUCCACAUCAUCAAAAGUCCUAUGUGGCACCGCAUGAGACGACUUAUAAGACCACUGACGUGUAACAAUGUACUGACAGUAGACCCAUGACUCGGGAGGGGUAAAAUGGUCAGCUCAUGGAUGGAACCACAGAUGGAAUGGUACUAAGAGGAUAAAUCUAAAUUUCAAUGGCACUGAAGGAAUUUUGAACAAAUCUAUGGUAACGAGGGAACUCAGUAUUUCUAUGUAUUUUUAUGUCAUCAAGGGAAUUGAUUCUAUAAAGUUGAUAUCCUAGCUCUGACGCUUUCGAUAAGGAAAAGUGAUUAUUAGAAUUUUUAUAGAGAUAUGCAAGGAAUAUGGAAGCUGACUUUUGUAUGUUUAUUACUUCCAUCAUAAAUAUUUCCCUUUUCUGUUUCACAGGAAAGAUGCUAAGGGACCGUUUGGAUCCGGUUGGGAUUCUAUAAUCCAAGAAAAAAAAAAUCAAAAUCCAAACCAAAGAGGUUGGAUUCUACUGCAGGAUUCUAGAAUCCCUACCCAUAAUCCACAAUCCCCACUUCCUUAGCUUAUGGGGGAUUCUAGGAUGAGAAAUUACAAUUUUACCCCGCUCCAAAUAUUUGCCUGUUUAAGAAAAAAGGGAGGCAAGGGCAUUAUAGAUAUUUCGUUUUUACAACCAACCUAAUAUCCGGAUUAGAAUCUAGAGAUCUGAAUAGGGUAGAUUAUUACAAUAUACUAUCUAGAUUUAUAAUCACUAUACACUAUCCAGAUUCUUAUAAUCCAUCGGUGGUCCAAAUGGGGCCUAAGUUUCGAUGACAGUUCAUGUGGAUGUGCGGAUUUUCGUGCGUUUCCUGUACUUCGGGCAGUUUCUGGACAAGCGUGCAAGCUGCUACAACGACCGGAGCGGUUCACGUCCUUGCCCGACCUGCAGCAACGGCCAACACGACGUUUGAAAGUCCUAGGGUCCAACGAACUCCUUUUGGUUAGGCUAGGCGGAUGGAGCAACCGAGCAAGAAACUCUUCUCCUGAAGCGGCUGUAAGGUGCAGACAACAGCAGCCUGCCGAUGUCACCAUAUUCGGGACAACAAGAUUGCAACUGCAUGGACUCCGCUGAAUCAUGGCCAUUCACUACGGGAAACUUUAAAUUUGCCGAGUGUUUUAUUUUUGCCGAGUGUUUUUUUUCGGACACUCGGCAAACAAGCUCUUCGCCGAGUGCCAAGCCAAAAACACUCGGCAAAAAAAAACACUCGGCAAAUCGUGGCUUUGCCGAGUGUCAAAUAAAAAACACUCGGCAAAGCCCCCUCUUUGCCGAGUGUCAAAAAAAACACUCGGCAAAGAGGGGGUUUGCCGAGUAUCAAAAAAAACACUCGGCAAAGAGGGGGGUUUGCCUAGUGUUUUUUUUUGACACUCGGCAAAAAAAUAAUUUUUUUUUCUCUUUUCACCAUGAAAUUUUUUCUACUCCCCACAUACAACAUGUGGUACUCCAUGUUAAAAUUUGGUAUAUUUUUGAAUUUAUUUUCUAUAUUUAAUUAAUUAAUUGCAUUUCAAGGGAAUUUUUGGUAUAAGUCAAAUUUGAACUGCAAGUGAUUCAAAUUAUGGAAUAAAAUGAGUAGAAAAAUGAUAUUCAUGUUAUUUGGACCAAUUUGAGACCUGACCCAUGAAAUGAAAAGAAAUUUCGAACAUCUUGUUCAGGAAACACGACCAUGAACGUGUCGCAGUAGUAUUUUUAAAUUGUAAAAAAAACAAUCAAAGUCUGAAAAUCUUAAGAUUUGUCAUGAUGUGAUGAUAUAAUACGUGGAGGCUGUGGAAAAAAAUUGAGAAGGUUUUGCACAUUUCAUCAUGUACGAUGAUUACAAACCGAAGCAUCUCAGAAGAAGAAUAGUAACUUUAAGAAGGAUUCGAUAAAAUUUAGAGUCGAAGUGACGGAGUUCGGUUUGACUACAAAACUUUUUGUAUAGUCAGUAGAAAACCUAUAUUGGUUCGUGUGAAAAUUUGGUAUUUUUUUGAAACUGUUGGAUAUUUUUUAAAUUUUUUUCAAAAAACGUUUGCCGAGUGUCCUACGUUGGACACUCGGCAAAGAAACUGUUUACUACGUGGACACUCGGACACUCGGCAAACCAGCCGCCCGGCCCCUCAAUAAGUGCCUCCCGGCCCCCUGGCCUCUCACUCCCCUCACUCCCGGCCGGCCCCCCUCUCACUCCCCUCACUCCCUCUCCUCUCUCCCUCCUCUCUCCCUCCCGCCGCCGCCCGAAGGCCCCCGCCGCCGCGCGCCGCCCGGCGCCCCCCGCCGCCCGCCGCCCCGCGCUCCCAGAUCCGCCGCCCCGGCCCCCGGAUCCGCCCGCCGUCCCGGCCCCCGUAUCCGCCGCCGCCGGCCGCCCGGCGCCCGGCGCCCCCGGAUCCGCCGCCACCCACCCGGAACCGCCGCCGCCCGCCCGGCGCCCGGCCCCCGGCCCCCGGAUCCGCCGCCCGCCCGUCCCCUCCACCGGAUCCGCCGGCGCCGGGGCCUGAAGAGAAGAGGAGAGGAUGGCGGCGGCGGCGGCGGAGCAGUGGCGGUGUGUGAUUUUUUUUUAUUUUUUCAAUAAUUGUUCGCCGAGUGUUUCUGGGCACUCGGCAAAGUCUUUGCCGAGUGCCCGACACAAAACACUCGGCGAACUAGUGUUUGCCGACUCGAUAUUUGUCGUGUGCCGUUUGCCGAGUGUUACACUCGGCAAACGGUUCGCCGAGGGUAUUCUGCCCUUCGCCGAGUGCCCCUGGCACUCGGCAAUUUGCCUGUGUCCCGUAGUGAUUGUUGACCUUGCGAUGUUCAGUUUUGACAUGGAUUUUUAUGCACAUGUGCACAAAGUAUACUCUAUUCUGACAUGCAGACAUAAUACAUGGAUACAUUUAUUUGGACCACUGUCAAUUUUUUUAACUUUCAUUCUGAACUAAUGUUCAUGAUAUAUCAAGGAUUUGGUGCCCACCCAAAAUGAUCUACGAUAGAGUAUAUGGUAUUGUCAACAUACUUAAGGAUAAAUCUGUAUCCUGUUUAUGUUUCUUAUGUACUCCCUCCGGCCCAAAUUACUAUUCGUUUUGGUUUUUCUAGAUAAAUAACUUUUGAUAUGCACCUAGAUGUAUAAUAUGUCUAUAUGCAUAGCAAAAGUUAUGUGUUGAAGGAAAGCAAUACAAACUUCUAAAGCCUCCCCACAACUCAUGAUCCAUGAUAUUUUCCAUGAAGGCACUGGAUAUUGUUGCCAUGAAGAAAUUAGAAUAGUGUAGAACAUAGAUAUUUGUCUAGUGAAAAUUCUAGAAGGGGACACAUGCCAUCAUCAUAUGAACUCCCUUGGCCUAUAAAUAGAGGGCCCCUUCCUUACCAUGCCAUUCAAUCAUGAGCAUGAUAGAUGAGUGGAGUAUAGUAGAAGUAAAGGAUGAAUGUUAGGCUAACCACUAAAGAGAGGGUGUUGUACACUCUUGUGUAAUAUUGUUGUGUUGUAAUAAUAUUCUGUUUCUUAUAAGAGUUAGACUCUGGUUGGGCCAUAUAGUUUCUAAGUACUUAGUGCAUAAGUUGUGAUCCAUCGAAGGUUGGCUCUGUCACCCAAGAUCACAAGGUUCUGGACUUCAUUGUAGGUUGCCUUUGCUACUCGGAAGUUAGUUUCAUCUGUUGGUAGGCUCUGCCACCCGGAAGUGAGAACGCGGCUCUGCUGUCGAAAGGACCCAUCGCACUAAGUAACUAGAAAUUAAAAGGGCUAACCGACUCCAGAGUGAGUUGGUGUCCUAGGUGUAGGUCCUCAGAUUAGUGGGUAUUAGGGCCACCUCAAUUUCCAACAUUAUGUACCUGAAAAAAAACCAAAAUGAAUAGUAAUUUGGGACGGAGGGAGUAACCACUAAUGACAAAAAUCUGAUAUAUAUCAAACUCUGCACAAGUUAUGUCGGAUACAAUAAGAUGAAAAAACAGAUUCAACCAUCCUUUUAGCAAUUGGGUGUAGUGGUAGUGGUAGGCUGACCAUCUUGUUCAUGUCAGGAAAAAUGAACUUGUGUGAAUGAGAAAGCAGGCGGUAAUUAAGAGGCACCUAUGCAUGUGUUUAAGAAUGUUUUGGCAUUUUAUGAGGUUGCUAAGGAUUUAAGCGUUAUACACGGUGUUUAGGUUCUCCUAGCCUUGUGAAGUAGGACCCACUGUUGAAUAAAUAAGGUUCUAAGCGGAUCAACCCCGUGGAGUUAUCUUCUUCCAUCCUUUCUCCCUGAUGUUUCUUUCCCCUUCAGCACCAUGCCCCUGCUGCUAUAUCUACUGUUGGCCAUGAAUGUUGCCGCUAAAUUUGUAAGAAUAUAAUGAGGUUUGCUGGUGAUAAUUGUAGAAAAACAUGAGGAUGUCAAAGCUUAGGAGUUAGAAAAGUCUACUCCUGCAAAAACUUUUUAUGCCUUUACUCAAGCUGCAUCUUAGCAAGAACUAGGGGACUACGCGUUGUCAACCUGGGAGGUUUAUAGCUAGAGGAAAAAUAUACCCAGGUUCUACUGAAUCACACAUUCAAAACAAAAUUUAUUGGGCUGGGCAUUGCGCAUGCGUGACCUAGAUGCAAAAAUUUGAGUCUGCAUAGACCAUGAUCUUAUUUUGUCAUCAUGGCACCUCCCAAUUCAUUGUCCAUGUUCUCUGUAGUAGUACUCAACAUCGUUGAAAUUGUAGCGACACCAAAUAUUUUAUUGAUAGAUGGCUCAGGGAUAAUCUCUAGCUGAAUUGUUGCCUCACGCUAAGCCUUGGUGCAUAGGCGCAUCGCCAAGCAUCGAACAGUCCAGCAGGUGUGCUCUAAUUGGUGUUGGAUUGGAGACAUCAAGGGUGCUUCUUUUAUCAUGGCGCUGGCGAAGUAUCUGUACAUCUAUGGCGGCUAAGAUGAGACCCUAUGAGGAGGAUGUCCACAUAGAUAAUUCAUCGGCAUCCAUGGCAUUCGAUAUUAAAUCCGUCUGUCGGGCAUUCUUUCAUGGGAUCGAGAGCAUUGGUUUUGAAUCAUGUAAAUCUUAGGAAGCACAACAGGCCAAGUUCUUUGUUUAGUUCGCUUGUCACAGUGAGUGCUGGACAGUGGACUGGCUAGCUUGCUGAGGCAUGCCCCAUCCUCCUUGCUGUCAAGUGUGUCCUCACUAGGCAGGUGCUGCUAGCGCCUGGGUUGUGGAGAGCACCAAAAAACAUUUUAUUUGGUUAGCGAAGGAGGGGUGAUGAGAGGCUGAGAGCGGACUCAACAAUGGAGGCAUUGCCGGAGUAUAUCUAGAGGGUUGUAUUUUUGCUGCCGGUUCUCUCUCCGCUACGGUGCGGUAUAUGCCAUCCAAUAAACUUUGCGAAAUUGCCACCUAAUAUAAACCCUAGCAAUUCAAGUGUUUUCUGUACUGAUAAAAAUUUUUUAGAAAAAGGAAUUGUCUCCGACCUCUACAACCACACACAGUCAUGUUUUUACAAAAUUGUUUCUGCACUAACAAGUGGAGCCAGUGAAAUCUACAGCACCACAGGCAAUUACGUGCCCAUUGCCCUCUGGACUCUAGUACAUGUCAGUGCAAUAUGUUUAGCUUUAUGAUUUUAGUUUUUCCCGCGAAAACGUGGCUGAGCUUUGUUAUUCUAGUAUAGACCCUUGUCAUCAAGGAUGAUCGUCAAUGUCGUCACUCUCACCAAAGUCCAUCCCAACACUAAAACAAGUUGGCGAAAAAUACUAUGCAAAUUGCCUAGAAACCUAAAUCCCAUCCAGGAAACAAAAACAAAUCAAAUAACGUUAAAUAAAGAACUAAAAGGAAAACGAAAAGAAGUAGAUAAAAUGUUUUUUUAAAAAAAAUUAUACGGGCUCGCUCAGGCCCAUGCGUGACACGAGUCGAACCGUGUGGUCAUUCUCAUAAACACCAGGUCCUCCUGCUUUUGUCUACCGAAUUUAUUCUAAUAGAGCAAUAGAAAGCAAGUGAAACCGCGUGUGCCAUGCUUUAUCUGUGCACGUGUAAAGCAUUUCGGUGUGAUUUCCUUUUUUUGUACGUGUGGUUUUCUAUGAUUACCGAAUUUAUUUUGUGUGGUUUUUCUAACCUCCUUUUUCAUGGCGUGCUGAUUUUUCUUUUCAGAAAUGUGCGGCCACCAUUUUAUAUGGUACAACGUGUACAGCACUGUGGAGCUGAAAAUAAAAGGUCAUCUUGGAACCCUGCAAUGUGCAAAAGUCAGAGGUGCCACCUCUGUCAACACACCCAAACUUGUUUCUCCCAGCUGGCCAUAUAUCGAUACUUUUUCUUCUUAUUUUAUCCUUUUUCCCUUCAUGUGAGGAAAUGUACACUACGAGUACAUCUAUAAUUGUACAUCCAAUAUACGGAUAUUUUUCCUUGCAAAAAAUUAGACAUCUUGACCUCAAGAAACAAAAAAUACACACCUGACAUACGUACUGCCAUUACUAAUUUAUAUAUUUAUGUAGACGCAUGUGACACACCACAUUUUUAAAAUAUGUACGAUUGUACAGUCACCGGCUCCACAUAAUUUUUUAUAGAAAUUUUAGAACAAAACAUGUUGGUUAAAACAUAUAUUCUUUGAAAUAUAGUCUCUUAGGUAUCAUGCCUUUUUGUGGAGAGGGAAGUUGUUCAUUUCAAAUUGUUCAAAUUUACAUCUACAAUGUGGAGGUUGAAGAGUAAACAUGGCCCUCCACCUCAAGAGAAAUAAACAUGUUCAGACCAAACCUAUAUCUUCCUUUGGGAGGCCUGCACAAUAACCAGUUAGUACGUCAUUGUAAUAUGGGCUGCAAGGGCUCUUGGCUACAUAGCCAAUGCACUCAAUACUUCAUUAGCGUGUGACUUGAAGUUGUGGAUCAUACAAGGCACGUUAGCAUUUAAAUUUUACUCUUACUUGGAUCAGACAGUGUCAAACAAAGAACCUUAUCAGUAGGACAAAAUAGGUUGAUUCAUGUGAGACUAAUCAAGCAAGAGUAUGAGCAUUGUAUUUUUUAGGGACCAUAUAUAAUUUUAGAGUCUCGGGAAGUCAAAACCUGGACCAGAGGUUCGGGAUUCUCCAGGGAAAGCAAUUCAAAUUAGCAGUUUGUUUAGUUUUAUAAAAUUUUGAGAUCUGUUUUUAAUUUUCACAUCCUUUAUUAACAAAAACAAGAGCAUUAGAGGUUGAGCCGGCCACUAUGUAAGACGUCUUCAAAGGAGACGCGAGUUAACUCACACAGGAGACGUGUUUUUUUCGCGUCUCCAAAUUUUCGUCUCUAAUGUAAAGUCAUACAAGAUGCGAAAAUUCUGCGUCUCCGAUGUAGAGGGUCAUUGGAGAUGCGUUUUGACGGGACAAACAUAUUGGAGAUGCGUUUAGUUUAUCCACGUCUCCGAUUCAAUAUUGGAGACGUGUUUUAAUUCCACGUCUCUAAUAAGGAUGUCUUCUUUGUGAUAUUGUUACAUAGUGGGUAUUGGGGGUAUCAAGAAGUCAAAACUAGACCAUGUGUAUUGAUAGUUGCGAUCGAUUCUGGCUGACUUUUGAAAUCCUAGCCUACCAAACUUUGCUAAUCAUGCUUUAAAUGGUUGCUUGUUUGUCAACUUGGUUGCCCAUGUGAAUGGGUAACGAAAAAGGGAGUGCUAUGAGUUUUGCACCUGCUUACCUUUAAUUGGUCUAUAAAUUGUCACCGAGACAGACCAUGCAUGGGUGCACCAGACCACUAGGCACUGACACUCACAUACAUUCUCCAGCUGCAUACUUCACACUGUACUCAGCGCGUGCCAUGGCAACCUGCAGGAGCCUUCUCAUGGUCCCGGUCACUCUCUGCUGCUUCCUCCUCGUGCUCCCAGCGCAGAGCAAGGAGAACCUUGCCGUCGUCAUCUUCUACGGCACAGCCCGAUGCAAGAGCAACCCCUCCAAGAUCAUCAGCAGUAAGCGAUCUUAUAUUAACUGAUAUACUCGAUCAUGGACCCAAACUUCAGCUAUCAUACGCUAUAGUAUAUCAUAUGUAUAAUCCACUCCUGCAUGCAGAUGCAACCCUGCAUGUGACCAUCAAUGGCACCACCCUCGCCACCGGCAAAACGACGAGCAUGGGCCGGUUCUUGAUGGCGGCGAGGGUGACCUCAAAAGAUCAGCUCAGCUCCCUGGUGAGCAAAAAGGCGGUCAUCACCGCUCCUCGACAGGCGUGCGGCAUGCCUGCAGCGUCCGUCGCUGCGAGGAAGCUGGCUGCACAGGCGGACCUGAAUGGCCACAGGAUUCUCGCCGACAAUUCUGGCGACUUGGUUGAUGAUGAUGAUAUCCGGGAGAUAAUUGAUCUGGUCGUUGACGACCUCAACAACUUCCUGGGCAUACCCAAUUGAGAGGAAUAUUUAAGGCAUUAUUUGGAUAAAUCAAUCUUAAUACACAUAGAUUGAGAUGGCGAAUAAACACU